UACGAAGGGGGCGAGCGUUGUUCGGAUUUACUGGGCGUAAAGGGCGCGUAGGCGGCUUUGCAAGUGACGGGUGAAAGCCCUCGGCUUAACCGAGGAACUGCCUGUCAGACUGUAAGGCUUGAGACCGGGAGAGGUGAGUGGAAUUCCCAGUGUAGCGGUGAAAUGCGUAGAUAUUGGGAGGAACACCAGUGGCGAAGGCGGCUCACUGGACCGGAACUGACGCUGAGGCGCGAAAGCGUGGGGAGCAAACAGG
rnacentral:rRNA from 1 species